rnacentral:rRNA from 1 species
UACGUAGGGUGCAAGCGUUAUCCGGAAUUAUUGGGCGUAAAGAGCUCGUAGGCGGUUUGUCGCGUCUGCUGUGAAAACUGGGGGCUCAACCCCCAGCCUGCAGUGGGUACGGGCAGACUAGAGUGCGGUAGGGGAGAUUGGAAUUCCUGGUGUAGCGGUGGAAUGCGCAGAUAUCAGGAGGAACACCGAUGGCGAAGGCAGAUCUCUGGGCCGUAACUGACGCUGAGGAGCGAAAGCAUGGGGAGCGAACAG